UCAGGGCUGUGACCAUGGCCUGGACUCCUCUCCUCCUCGUGCUCCUCUCUCACUGCACAGGUUCCCUCUCCCAGCCUGUGCUGACUCAGCCGCCCUCCCUCUCUGCCUCUCCUGGAGCCUCAGCCAGACUCACCUGCACCCUGAGCAGUGGAUCCAGUGUUGGCGGCUACUACAUACACUGGUUCCAGCAGAAGCCAGGGAGCCCUCCCCGGUUUCUCCUGUGGUAUAAAUCAGACUCAGAGAAGCACCAGGGCUCAGGGGUCCCCAGCCGCUUCUCUGGAUCCAAGGACACCUCGGCCAAUGUAGCGCUUCUGGUCAUCUCUGGGCUGCAGCCUGAGGACGAGGCUGACUAUUACUGUGCUACAUAUCAUGGCAGUGGGAGCAGCUUUAGUUACUCACAGUGUCUCAGAUGA